rnacentral:lncRNA from 1 species
GGGGUAACGUGUCACCGGCUGAUACGGCUGUCAAGGCCUCGGAUUUAUCCUAUCGUCGUCCCUUGCUGCAUCAACCGUUGGGUGAUACGAUGGAAGAAAUGAUGUUGCCUUUUGGCCGCUUCUCCCGGGGAGCGUUUGAUGCUUACCCCCCGAAAGAAGUAAAAAUUGAGAGAAGUCCGCUGGAUUCCACCCGUUUCCGUAAGGAUUCCAGAAGGUUUUUGUUUCCUGAAGCCUUUUCCAAUUUUGCAUUCGG